GAUGAACGCUGGCGGCGUGCUUAACACAUGCAAGUCGAACGAAGCACUUUAUUUGAUUUCCUUCGGGACUGAUUAUUUUGUGACUGAGUGGCGGACGGGUGAGUAACGCGUGGGUAACCUGCCUUGUACAGGGGGAUAACAGUUGGAAAUGGCUGCUAAUACCGCAUAAGCGCACGGCAUCGCAUGAUGCAGUGUGAAAAACUCCGGUGGUAUAAGAUGGACCCGCGUUGGAUUAGCUAGUUGGUGAGGUAACGGCCCACCAAGGCGACGAUCCAUAGCCGACCUGAGAGGGUGACCGGCCACAUUGGGACUGAGACACGGCCCAAACUCCUACGGGAGGCAGCAGUGGGGAAUAUUGCACAAUGGGCGAAAGCCUGAUGCAGCGACGCCGCGUGAGCGAAGAAGUAUUUCGGUAUGUAAAGCUCUAUCAGCAGGGAAGAUAAUGACGGUACCUGACUAAGAAGCACCGGCUAAAUACGUG
rnacentral:rRNA from 1 species